AUUCUUUGUUAUCUUUAAUCCAUCUGGAUUUCCUCAACACAGCUAUUUUGAAUUCUCUGCCUGAAAGGUUAUAUAUCUGUUUCUCCAAGAGUUGUCCCUGGUGACUUAUUUAGUUCA